rnacentral:misc_RNA from 1 species
UGGAUACGAGCGGGAGCUCACAAGAUCUCAAGAAAUGGUGCCAACAAAUGUUAGAUCAAAACAUUAUCCGCUUUAGAAUCGACGCGUUCUAACUUCCACAGUUGUUAUAUAAUUGUGAUAAAUAUCCUGACGUGUGUACAUCGUAUUUGUUUCCGCAUUAUAUAUUCAUUUUGCCAUUUCGACGCUCACAAUGGACUCAAAUUCGAACUGGAACAGUGGUUUAACGGAAAUGGUCUCCUCGAACACCCCGAGGAAGACCAAAAUCUUCGUCGGGCGUUUACCAGAAAAUUGUCGCAAUGACGAAUUGCGACAAUUAUUCUUGCGCUUUGGCGAAGUCACAGAAUGUGAUGUGAUGAAUCGUUAUGGAUUCGUACACAUGGCGAGAGAGGAAGAUGCAGCUGCAGCUAUCAAGGCUCUACACAACUCAACAUUCAAAGGAGCAACGAUCAAUGUGGAACAGUCAACUGGAAAGUCCCGAGGAGCAGGAGGAGGUGGUCGCCGGGAUGGAGAUCGCAGAGGUGGACCAAUGAGAGGUGGUAGGGGGGGUCGCGAUGGUGGCCGCGAUGGUCGCCCGGGACCAUAUAAUGAUCGAAGAGUUUUGCCGAUCCAACUCGUUGGUUACGAUGGAUCUGCUACAGGUGGCGUUGCCAGCGGUUACACGGAUUACGGGAACCGCGGAGCUGGGGACUACACUGGCCGUGGAGCAGGAGACUUCACCAGUGGAUAUGCCGACCGUGGAGCAUAUGGCCAAAGCGUCGGAGGUGCUGCGAUGAGUGGCUAUACGUCGACUGCUCCUGGCAUGACAGCUUAUGGACCUGCGAGUGGUGCCGUUGGCGGAUAUGGCCCUACAGGAACAGCGGAUUACCGAGCACCUGACUACGGCCGUGCCGCAGAGUUUGGUGCAAGGACAGAUUAUGGUAAUUAUGGUGAUUUUGGUCUUGCAGCCGCAGGCCCUGUAGAUUACGGACGAACGGAUAACUUUGGGGCUGGGAGAGCGGUGGACUAUGCACCUAGAACCGAUUACGAUCGUGGUGCAGCAGGCCCGAUGAGAAACGGAGGUGGUGGAGUGGCAGCAGGAGGAUACGGCACAGGAUACGGCGAUGCCCAUCAGUGGGGGACCGAGUUACAGCACUGGCCCUGGGGGACCCAGUUACAGCACUGGACCUGGACCCCAAACGGACAUGUUUAGCAGAAGACCCGGAACUACGGUGCCCAGUGGUGGUUAUCCACCUGUCGGCGGAGGCUACAGCGAGGGUUAUGACAGACCAGAUGCGUACGGUCCUCCGCGCGGUGCCGGGCGAUUACAAACGGGAUGAGGACUUGACCGCUGGAGAUUGAGAUGAACUCAAUAUGGGGACUGCAAAGCAUUUCAACAAACCACCCGCCACACCUCAGUCAGUGGGCCGUGUGACUUCGAAAAUCCAUUGCCUAAAGAUGAAACUGCAGAAACACCGUGCACGUGUAUCCAUCACAUUUUACAAUAAACUAAUUCUACGCUGGAGCGAA